rnacentral:rRNA from 1 species
UACAGAGGGGGCAAGCGUUGUUCGGAAUUACUGGGUGUAAAGGGCGCGUAGGCGGCUUAUCAAGUCAGGCGUGAAAUUCCCGGGCUCAACCUGGGGGCUGCGCUUGAUACUGAUUGGCUUGAAUGCGGGAGAGGAUAGUGGAAUUCCCAGUGUAGAGGUGAAAUUCGUAGAUAUUGGGAAGAACACCGGUGGCGAAGGCGGCUAUCUGGCCCGUAAUUGACGCUGAGGCGCGAAAGCGUGGGGAGCAAACAGG